AUAAGUUAAAACUUUCAACAACGGAUCUCUUGGUUCCGGCAUCGAUGAAGAACGCAGCGAAAUGCGAUAACUAAUGUGAAUUGCAGAAUUCAGUGAAUCAUCGAGUCUUUGAACGCACAUUGCGCCCCCUGGUAUUCCGGGGGGCAUGCCUGUCCGAGCGUCAUUGCUGCCCUCAAGCACGGCUUGUGUGUUGGGCUCCGUCCCCCCGGGGACGGGUCCGAAAGGCAGCGGCGGCACCGAGUCCGGUCCUCGAGCGUAUGGGGCUUUGUCACCCGCUCUGUAGGCCCGGCCGGCGCCAGCCGACAACCAAUCAUCCUUUUUUCAGGUUGACCUCGGAUCAGGUAGGGAUACCCGCUGAACUUAAGCAUAUCAAUAAGCGGAGGAAAAGAAACCAACAGGGAUUACCUCAGUAACGGCGAGUGAAGCGGUAAGAGCUCAAAUUUGAAAGCUGGCUCCUUCGGGGUCCGCAUUGUAAUUUGCAGAGGAUGUUUCGGGAGCAGCCCCCAUCUAAGUGUCCUGGAACGGACCGUCAUAGAGGGUGAGAAUCCCGUAUGGGAUGGGGUGUCUGCGCCCAUGUGAAACUCCUUCGACGAGUCGAGUUGUUUGGGAAUGCAGCUCUAAAUGGGUGGUAAAUUUCAUCUAAAGCUAAAUAUUGGCCGGAGACCGAUAGCGCACAAGUAGAGUGAUCGAAAGAUGAAAAGCACUUUGAAAAGAGAGUUAAAAAGCACGUGAAAUUGUUGAAAGGGAAGCGCUUGCGAUCAGACUCGCCUUGGGGGUUCAGCCGGCAUUCGUGCCGGUGUACUUCCCCCAGGGCGGGCCAGCGUCGGUUUGGGUGGCCGGUCAAAGGCCCUUGGAAUGUAACGCCUCUCGGGGCGU
rnacentral:rRNA from 1 species